AGAGUGAACGCUGGCGGCAGGCCUAACACAUGCAAGUCGAACGGCAGCACAGGGGAGCUUGCUCCCUGGGUGGCGAGUGGCGGACGGGUGAGGAAAACGUCGGAAUCUGCCUAUUUGUGGGGGAUAACGUAGGGAAACUUACGCUAAUACCGCAUACGACCUACGGGUGAAAGCGGAGGACCUUCGGGCUUCGCGCAGAUAGAUGAGCCGACGUCGGAUUAGCUAGUUGGCGGGGUAAAGGCCCACCAAGGCGACGAUCCGUAGCUGGUCUGAGAGGAUGAUCAGCCACACUGGAACUGAGACACGGUCCAGACUCCUACGGGAGCAGCAGGUAGGGAAUAGUUGGAACAAGUGGGGACGACG
rnacentral:rRNA from 1 species